GAACCUGCAAGGCAUCAAAGAAUAAGUCCUUUCUGCUCCCACUUCAAAAGAACACAGAUUGUUUAGGGGCUCACAGGGCUGGAGUAUAACCUGAAGCAAGGGAGGGUUUAAAUGGCACCCAGCAGUUGGCGUGAGGGGCUGCGGGAGCUUGGGGGCCAGUGGCAGGAACAAGCCUUUUCCGACCUGAUGGAGCUGUAUGAGACAUCCCCCUAUUUCUACCAGGAGCCCCACUUCUAUGAUGGGGAAAACUACCUUCCUGUCCACCUUCAGGGCUUCGAGCCCCCGGGCUAUGAGCGGACUGAGCUCAGCUUAAGCCCGGAAGCCCGAGGGCCCCUGGAAGAAAAGGGACUGGGGACCCCUGAGCAUUGUCCAGGCCAGUGCCUGCCGUGGGCAUGUAAGGUGUGUAAGAGGAAGUCUGUGUCGGUGGACCGGAGGAGGGCAGCCACACUGAGGGAGAAGCGCAGGCUCAAGAAAGUGAAUGAGGCCUUCGAGGCCCUGAAGAGGAGCACCCUGCUCAACCCCAACCAGCGGCUGCCUAAAGUGGAGAUCCUGCGCAGCGCCAUCCAGUACAUUGAGCGCCUACAGGCCUUGCUCAGCUCCCUCAACCAGGAGGAGCGCGAUCUCCGCUACAGAGGCGGGGGCGGGCCCCAGCCCAUGGUGCCCAGUGAAUGCAACUCCCACAGCGCCUCCUGCAGUCCGGAGUGGGGCAAUGCACUGGAGUUCGGUCCCAACCCAGGAGAUCAUUUGCUCGCGGCUGACCCUACAGACGCCCACAAUCUGCACUCCCUUACGUCCAUCGUGGACAGCAUCACGGUGGAGGAUAUGUCUGUUGCCUUCCCAGACGAAACCAUGCCCAACUGAGAUUGUCUGUCAGGCUGGGUGUGCAUGUGAGCCCCCAAGUUGGUGUCAAAAGCCAUCACUUCUGUAGCAGGGGGCUUUUAAGUGGGGCUGUCCUGAUGUCCAGAAAACAGCCCUGGGCUGCCACAAGCCAGACUCCCCACUCCCCAUUCACAUAAGGCUAACACCCAGCCCAGCGAGGGAAUUUAGCUGACUCCUUAAAGCAGAGAGCAUCCUCUUCUGAGGAGAGAAAGAUGGAGUCCAGAGAGCCCCCUUGUUAAUGUCCCUCAGUGGGGCAAACUCAGGAGCUUCUUUUUUGUUUAUCAUAAUAUGCCUCGAAUUCCACCCCCCACCCCCAAAAUGAAACCGUUUGAGAGACAUGAGUGCCCUGACCUGGACAAGUGUGCACAUCUGUUCUAGUCUCUUCCUGAAGCCAGUGGCUGGGCUGGGCCUGCCCUGAGUUGAGAGAGAAGGGGGAGGAGCUAUCCGGUUCCAAAGCCUCUGGGGGCCAAGCAUUUGCAGUGGAUCUUGGGAACCUUCCAGUGCUUUGUGUAUUGUUUAUUGUUUUGUGUGUUGUUUGUAAAGCUGCCGUCUGACCAAGGUCUCCUGUGCUGAUGAUACCGGGAACAGGCAGGGAAGGGGGUGGGGGCUCUUGGGGUGACUUCUUUUGUUAACUAAGCAUUGUGUGGUUUUGCCAAUUUUUUUUCUUUUGUAAUUCUUUUGCUAACUUAUUUGGAUUUCCUUUUUUAAAAAAUGAAUAAAGACUGGUUGCUAUCAGA
rnacentral:lncRNA from 1 species